UAGGGAAUCUUCCGCAAUGGACGCAAGUCUGACGGAGCAACGCCGCGUGAGUGACGAAGGAUUUCGGUUCGUAAAACUCUGUUGUUAGAGAAGAACAGCGCAUAGAGUAACUGUUAUGCGUGUGACGGUAUCUAACCAGUAAGCCACGGCUAACUACGUGCCAGCAGCCGCGGUAAUACGUAGGUGGCAAGCGUUGUCCGGAUUUAUUGGGCGUAAAGCGAGCGCAGGCGGUCAAUUAAGUCUGAUGUGAAAGCCCCCGGCUCAACCGGGGAGGGUAAUUGGGAACUGGUUGAAUUGAGUGCAGAAGAGGAGAGUGGAAUUCCAUGUGUAGCGGUGAAAUGCGUAGAUAUAUGGAGGAACACCAGUGGCGAAGGCGACUAUCUGGUCAGUAACUGACGCUGAGGUUCGAAAGCGUGGGUAGCAAACAGG
rnacentral:rRNA from 1 species